UCUCUUCACAGAAAUCAGGCUGAGAGUUGUGCUGGGCAUGCUGUCAAAAUGGCACAGCCUCUGCCUUUUUGAUGGCACUGUCCGUGAUGCUGAGAGCUGGGAGAAGAACUGCAGGUCACUGGGGGAGUGAUGUGAGCUCAAAGAGUUCUUUUGGGUAUUUGGAAGAUGAUCUGUCUCCAUUCAAUAAAACUGGCUACUACUGUGGAGGAAAAAUAAACAUCCCCAAGUAUUUAGGCAGAGACCAAUUCCUCAUUAAAGAUGAUACAACUCUGCAAAUAUUCACGUAUGACUAGUUCCUCAGAGACGAUGAAAUAAGAAGAAGUUUUCAUCUUUGUCAUCAAAACAUCAAACAUGCUCCACUUCAGUCACUCUGUAACUGUGGUAGCCAAGGAAGGCUGUGUUUUUAACAAAAAAUAGCAAACAUUGUUUUUGAUAUGUUACUGGAGCUGGAAUAAUUCAUUAAAGAGUGGACCUGUUGGCCU